GGGGAGGACAGUAGCAUACCUGAGUAGAAAACAGAUUCAAGUCCACAGUCCGCUGCUCUGUGAUGCUUGCCAUCUAAGACUAGCAGUGCUCAUCAGCCAAUUACGUCGUGUCCUUUCAUCAUCUCUUGACCAUCUGCUUCAUGUUUAAGUAGCGCUGUGUUUUCCUCGCUGACAGCUGCAGUUUGUACAGUCAGAUUUCAAGAUAAUCGGAGUACCGGAUCAGACACGACAUCACUUUGAGCGUCACUUACUUGAUUGAGG
rnacentral:lncRNA from 1 species